CCUACGGGCGGCAGCAGUGGGGAAUAUUGGACAAUGGGCGAAAGCCUGAUCCAGCCAUGCCGCGUGUGUGAAGAAGGCCUUCGGGUUGUAAAGCACUUUCAGUGGGGAAGAAAGCCUUGGGGCUAAUACCCUCGAGGAAGGACAUCACCCACAGAAGAAGCACCGGCUAACUCCGUGCCAGCAGCCGCGGUAAUACGGAGGGUGCGAGCGUUAAUCGGAAUUACUGGGCGUAAAGCGCGCGUAGGCGGUCUGAUAAGCCGCUUGUGAAAGCCCCGGGCUCAACCUGGGAACGGCAUCCGGAACUGUCAGGCUAGAGUGCAGGAGAGGAAGGUAGAAUUCCCGGUGUAGCGGUGAAAUGCGUAGAGAUCGGGAGGAAUACCAGUGGCGAAGGCGGCCUUCUGGACUGACACUGACGCUGAGGUGCGAAAGCGUGGGUAGCAAACAGGAUUAGAUACCCGAGUAGUC
rnacentral:rRNA from 1 species